rnacentral:lncRNA from 1 species
UGUCAACAAACAUGGCUCCACACAUACUGUAUCUGCCUACCCCGGCCAAACCCUAACCCAGACGACGCUGGGCCAAUUGUGCGCCACCCACGGGACUUCCAAUCAUGGCCAGUUGUGAUACAGCGUGGAAUCGAACCAGGAUAGGGGGAGAUCGCGAACGUCAGGUCUUCCCAGUAUGAAAAUGUGAUGCAAGGGCUUUUGCCAUCGACAGCAAUCAGUAUCAUUAAGCCCUGCACAACUACCGUGCUGUUUCUCAUUUAACAACAGGAAUAAAUGAUGCUCAACUGGGACCGCUGGCUGAUGUGAUUUAUUAGGGAAAAAAACACAACGCAAGGAGAGUACGCUAUACAUCUGUUACACUGGUGCCGUGACUCGUCUUCUUGUCUUCGCCGGACGUCACGUGGAGGGAUCCGAGACCCGGCUUCAAGAAGUACUGUGGUUGCUGAUGCACGCCAGAGGCCUAGGUUUCGCAGUCUGCACAAGUGGAAUUCUCAGGGAGCUCCUGGUAGCAUGACGAAUCACGGGGAUUGGGACCUGGUCGGGUGUCAACAGUAUAUCCCUCGCGUCCGACUCAUUGAAGAAAAACUUUUUGUCCAGUUUGAGGAGUGACUUCGGGACAAGUCUCUGAAUGUCCUUGAGUGGCUCAGCCAGAGCCUGGACUUUAAACUGAUCGAAAAUAUCUGUAGAAACCUGAAAAUAGCCGUGCAGCAAUGCUCCUCAUGCAACUUGACAGAGCUUGAGAGGAUCUACAGAGAAGAAUGGGAGAAACUCCCCAGAUACAGGUGUCCCAAGCUUGUAGCUUUAUACCCAAGAAGACUCAAGGCUGUAAUCUCUGCCAAAGGUGCUUCAACAAAGUACUGAGUAAAGGGUCUGUAAACAUGAUCAAUUCAUUUUUUCAUUUUUAAUAAAUUAGCAAAUAUUUCUAAAAACCUGUUUUUGCUUUGACAUUAUAGGGUGUUGUGUG